UACGUAGGGUGCAAGCGUUAAUCGGAAUUACUGGGCGUAAAGCGUGCGCAGGCGGUUUUGUAAGCCAGAUGUGAAAUCCCCGGGCUUAACCUGGGAAUGGCAUUUGGGACUGCAAGGCUAGAGUGUGUCAGAGGGGGGUAGAAUUCCACGUGUGAGCAGUGAAAUGCGUAGAUAUGUGGAGGAAUACCGAUGGCGAAGGCAGCCCCCUGGGAUAACACUGACGCUCAUGCACGAAAGCGUGGGGAGCAAACAGG
rnacentral:rRNA from 1 species